UACAGAGGGUGCAAGCGUUAAUCGGAAUGACUGGGCGUAAAGGGCGCGUAGGCGGUUUAAUAAGUGAGGUGUGAAAGACCUGGGCUCAACCUGGGGGUUGCACUUGAAACUGUUAGGCUAGAGUAGAGCAGAGGGGAGUAGAAUUUCCGGUGUAGCGGUGAAUGCGUAGAUAUCGGAAGGAAUACCGGUGGCGAAGGCGGCUCUCUGGGCUCAUACUGACGCUGAGGCGCGAAAGCGUGGGGAGCAAACAGG
rnacentral:misc_RNA from 1 species